GACGAACGCUGGCGGCGUGCCUAAUACAUGCAAGUAGAACGCUGAAGAGAGGAGCUUGCUCUUCUUGGAUGAGUUGCGAACGGGUGAGUAACGCGUAGGUAACCUGCCUGGUAGCGGGGGAUAACUAUUGGAAACGAUAGCUAAUACCGCAUAAAAUUGAUUAUUGCAUGAUAAUUAAUUGAAAGAUGCAAUUGCAUCACUACCAGAUGGACCUGCGUUGUAUUAGCUAGUUGGUGAGGUAACGGCUCACCAAGGCGACGAUACAUAGCCGACCUGAGAGGGUGAUCGGCCACACUGGGACUGAGACACGGCCCAGACUCCUACGGGAGGCAGCAGUAGGGAAUCUUCGGCAAUGGGGGCAACCCUGACCGAGCAACGCCGCGUGAGUGAAGAAGGUUUUCGGAUCGUAAAGCUCUGUUGUAAGUCAAGAACGAGUGUGAGAGUGGAAAGUUCACACUGUGACGGUAGCUUACCAGAAAGGGACGGCUAACUACGUGCCAGCAGCCGCGGUAAUACGUAGGUCCCGAGCGUUGUCCGGAUUUAUUGGGCGUAAAGCGAGCGCAGGCGGUUUGAUAAGUCUGAAGUUAAAGGCUGUGGCUCAACCAUAGUUCGCUUUGGAAACUGUCAAACUUGAGUGCAGAAGGGGAGAGUGGAAUUCCAUGUGUAGCGGUGAAAUGCGUAGAUAUAUGGAGGAACACCGGUGGCGAAAGCGGCUCUCUGGUCUGCAACUGACACUGAGGCUCGAAAGCGUGGGGAGCGAACAGG
rnacentral:rRNA from 1 species